GACGAACGCUGGCGGCGUGCUUAACACAUGCAAGUCGAACGGAAAGGCCCUGCUUUUGUGGGGUGCUCGAGUGGCGAACGGGUGAGUAACACGUGAGUAACCUGCCCUUGACUUUGGGAUAACUUCAGGAAACUGGGGCUAAUACCGGAUAGGAGCUCCUGCUGCAUGGUGGGGGUUGGAAAGUUUCGGCGGUUGGGGAUGGACUCGCGGCUUAUCAGCUUGUUGGUGGGGUAGUGGCUUACCAAGGCUUUGACGGGUAGCCGGCCUGAGAGGGUGACCGGCCACAUUGGGACGGAGAUACGGCCCGGACUCCUACGGGAGGCAGCGGUGGGGAAUAUUGCACAAUGGGCGGAGGCCUGAUGCAGCAACGCCGCGUGCGGGAUGACGGCCUUCGGUUUGUAAACCGCUUUCGCCUGUGACGAAGCGUGAGUGACGGUAAUGGGUAAAGAAGCACCGGCUAACUACGUG
rnacentral:rRNA from 1 species